rnacentral:rRNA from 1 species
UACGUAGGGUGCGAGCGUUGUCCGGAAUUACUGGGCGUAAAGAGCUCGUAGGUGGUUUGUCGCGUUGUUCGUGAAAACCGGGGGCUUAACCCUCGGCGUGCGGGCGAUACGGGCAGACUGGAGUACUGCAGGGGAGACUGGAAUUCCUGGUGUAGCGGUGGAAUGCGCAGAUAUCAGGAGGAACACCGAUGGCGAAGGCAGAUCUCUGGGCCGUAACUGACGCUGAGGAGCGAAAGCAUGGGGAGCGAACAGG